rnacentral:tRNA from 1 species
GGGUCGUUAGCUCAGUUGGUAGAGCAGUUGACUUUUAAUCAAUGGGUCGCAGGUUCGAGCCGAGUGAAACGAGACAACA